GGAAUCUCUAGUGAGUUAGACAUAAGGAGAAGGGUACAUUCAUGAGAAAAGAAGGAAGGCUCGGUACAAGCAAGAGGAGAAUCACGUUAGACAGGGGGAGAGAAAAGCUUAGUGAGAAAGAUUUUAUUGCCUAUCUUGCUCUGAGAGUUCCCUUGUGAGCAAGAAACCCAGAUUUCUUGAUUUUCAUGCCAUCUAAACUUAAUCUUCACCAUGAAGUAUCUCAGAUGCAGCUUCAGUGGAGUGGAGGUGGAGGCAGCCAUAACUGCAGCUCACGCGAGGCUUUCCAAGGCUUUGCUACCAGAGGAGUCGCCUGACGAUGACGAGGGAGCUGGAGGUUGGCCUAUGUCUCGACUGAAGAGGGCGGAGCUGCCCCUCUACGGCCCUGUUCCUAGUGGGUUCAGGGUUCGCAUGAACCCUAUGUGGUGAGAAUGACAACCAUGGGAGGCCAUGUGACCCCCUAUGCCCAUGUAAUUAUAUCCUGGUCCAAACCGACUUGACUCGGUUCUCUUUUAUCUGUUUGUUUGUUCGUUUUUUUUACCUUCAUUUGUCUUAUUUAUUUUCUUAUUUUUACUUUAAUUAAAAAUACUUUUAAAAAUAAAAAAA